GACGAACGCUGGCGGCGUGCUUAACACAUGCAAGUCGAACGGAAAGGCCCUGCUUUUGUGGGGUGCUCGAGUGGCGAACGGGUGAGUAACACGUGAGUAACUUGCCCUUGACUUUGGGAUAACUUCAGGAAACUGGGGCUAAUACCGGAUAGGAGCUCCUGCUGCAUGGUGGGGGUUGGAAAGUUUCGGCGGUUGGGGAUGGACUCGCGGCUUAUCAGCUUGUUGGUGGGGUAGUGGCUUACCAAGGCUUUGACGGGUAGCCGGCCUGGGAGGGUGACCGGCCACAUUGGGACUGCGAUACGGCCCAGACUCCUACGGGCGGCAGCAGUGGGGAAUAUUGCACAAUGGGCGGAAGCCUGAUGCAGCAACGCCGCGUGCGGGAUGACGGCCUUCGGGUUGUAAACCGCUUUCGCCUGUGACGAAGCGUGAGUGACGGUAAUGGGUAAAGAAGCACCGGCUAACUACGUG
rnacentral:rRNA from 1 species